rnacentral:rRNA from 1 species
GACGAACGCUGGCGGCGUGCUUAACACAUGCAAGUCGAACGGAAAGGCCCAGCUUGCGGGGUGCUCGAGUGGCGAACGGGGGAGUAACACAUGGGUGAUCUGCCUCUAACAUCGGGGUAAGCUUUGGGAACUGGGUCUAAUACCGGGGAGGGCAAUCGCUGAGUGUCGGUUGUGGAAAGUUUUUUCGGUUGGGGAUGGGCCCGCGGCCUAUCAGCUUGUUGGUGGGGUAGUGGCUUACCAAGGCAUCGACGGGUAGCCGGCCUGAGAGGGUGGGCGGCCACAUUGGGACUGAGAUACGGCCCAGACUCCUACGGGAGGCAGCAGUGGGGAAUAUUGCACAAUGGGCGCAAGCCUGAUGCAGCGACGCCGCGUGGGGGAUGACGGCCUUCGGGUUGUAAACCGCUUUCGACAGGGACGAAGCUUUGGUGACGGUACUUGUAAAAGAAGCACCGGCUAACUACGUG